rnacentral:lncRNA from 1 species
CCCUUCAAUUGUUUCAAUGCGAACACUUUAAAUAGCCAUUCGAAUAAAUAGUGAUAACACAGGUGGACCGGUUACAUUUCAUCAGCUGACGAGUGUUGACCGAAAAAAAAAAAGAGUAAAAAAGAACAAGAACAAAGGAAUAACAACGGUUCAACAAACUUAGCCGAUCAGGUAGGUGGGAUGGAUAUGGUUUUGCGAUGAGGUAUGAGGUAAGGGACACAAUACAAAGCAAAUGCAAACAAAACAAUCACUCAACAACACUUCUCACAAGUAGGUCUGCGCUACGCUGCUUGCGCUAUCCUAAACUGUACGCCGCAUGGCGAGCUGAAGGUUACGCAGAAGCUCGAAGCAAAAAACUGGUGGAUAUGUAAGAAAAUAUAGGGAACAGAGAAGGUCACCCUUUCUGUUCAGUUUAAUCACUUUUGUAUGUUUAUUCAAGAAAAGACAGAACGCUAGUUAUUAGGUUUUCUGAGCAUUGAAAAGCAAACAAUAGAAAAACAAGCGCAGUUGCUAGAACAGUCACAGAGAUAA